AUACGGAAGGUCCGGGCGUUAUCCGGAUUUAUUGGGUUUAAAGGGAGCGCAGGCGGAGAUGCAAGCGUGACGUCAAAUUUCGGGGCUCAACCCCGUCUCGCGUCGCGAACUGCGUCCCUUGGUUGCGGGAAGGGGAGGCGGAACUCGGGGUGAAGCGGUGAAAUGCAUAGAUAUCACGAAGAACUCCGAUCGCGAAGGCAGCCUUCCGGCCCGUCAACGACGCUCAUGCUCGAAGGUGCGGGUAUCAAACAGGAUUAGAUACCCUGGUAGUCCGCACAGUAAACGAUGGACACCCGCGGUUUGGCCUGUAUGGCUGAGCCGCCAAGCGAAAGCGUUAAGUGUCCCACCUGGGGAGUACGCCGGCAACGGUGAAACUCAAAUGAAUUGACGGGG
rnacentral:rRNA from 1 species